CAGCAGCCGCGGUAAUACGAGGGGUGCAAGCGUUAAUCGGAAUUACUGGGCGUAAAGCGUGCGUAGGCGGUUUGUUAAGUCUGCUGUGAAAUCCCCGGGCUCAACCUGGGAAUGGCAGUGGAUACUGGCAAGCUAGAGUGUGUCAGAGGAUGGUGGAAUUCCCGGUGUAGCGGUGAGAUGCGUAGAGAUCGGGAGGAACAUCAGUGGCGAAGGCGGCCAUCUGGGACAACACUGACGCUGAGGCACGAAAGCGUGGGGAGCAAACAGGAUUAGAUACCCCCGUAGUCCCUGUCUCUUAUAC
rnacentral:rRNA from 1 species